rnacentral:rRNA from 1 species
GAUGAACGCUGGCGGCGUGCCUAAUACAUGCAAGUCUAGCGAACAGACGAGGAGCUUGCUCCUCUGACGUUAGCGGCGGACGGGUGAGUAACACGUGGAUAACCUACCUAUAAGACUGGGAUAACUUCGGGAAACCGGAGCUAAUACCGGAUAAUAUAUUGAACCGCAUGGUUCAAUAGUGAAAGACGGUUUUGCUGUCACUUAUAGAUGGAUCCGCGCCGCAUUAGCUAGUUGGUAAGGUAACGGCUUACCAAGGCAACGAUGCGUAGCCGACCUGAGAGGGUGAACGGCCAAACUGGAACUGAGACACGGUCCAGAAUCCUACGGGAGGCAGCAGUAGGGAAUCUUCCGCAAUGGGCGAAAGCCUGACGGAGCAACGCCGCGUGAGUGAUGAAGGUCUUCGGAUCGUAAAACUCUGUUAUUAGGGAAGAACAAAUGUGUAAGUAACUAUGCACGUCUUGACGGUACCUAAUCAGAAAGCCACGGCUAACUACGUG